GAUGAACGCUGGCGGCGUGCCUAAUACAUGCAAGUCGAGCGAACGGACGAGAAGCCUGCUUCUCUGAUGUUAGCGGCGGACGGGUGAGUAACACGUGGAUAACCUACCUAUAAGACUGGGAUAACUUCGGGAAACCGGAGCUAAUACCGGAUAAUAUUUUGAACCGCAUGGUUCAAAAGUGAAAGGCGGUCUUGCUGUCACUUAUAGAUGGAUCCGCGCUGCAUUAGCUAGUUGGUAAGGUAACGGCUUACCAAGGCAACGAUGCAUAGCCGACCUGAGAGGGUGAUCGGCCACACUGGAACUGAGACACGGUCCAGACUCCUACGGGAGGCAGCAGUAGGGAAUCUUCCGCAAUGGGCGAAAGCCUGACGGAGCAACGCCGCGUGAGUGAUGAAGGUCUUCGGAUCGUAAAACUCUGUUAUUAGGGAAGAACAUAUGUGUAAGUAACUGUGCACAUCUUGACGGUACCUAAUCAGAAAGCCACGGCUAACUACGUG
rnacentral:rRNA from 1 species